rnacentral:rRNA from 1 species
AUGCAAGCRUUAUCCGGAAUCACUGGGCAUAAACKUCUGWAUGUUGUUUAAUAAUUCUACUAGUUAAAGACURGGGCUCAAUCCAUAAAAGCAGUGGAAACUGUUASACUURAUUAUAGUAGAGGUAUAGRGAAUUCCUAGUGUACGGUGAAAUGCUGUAUAUAUUAUGAAGAACACCAAUGGCGAAAGCACUCUACUGUUGCAUAACUGACACUGUAGAGACGACAGCUAGGGACAAAUGGAAUUAUAUACCCAAUAUCCUACCGUAAACGAUAGAUACUAGAUGUUGCACGUAUUACCCGUGCAGUAUCGUAGCUAAGGCGUUAAUAUCCCGCCU